rnacentral:lncRNA from 1 species
GAGAAAACAUUAGGGAUACACCAAAAAUACUAUUUCCGCAAUCGCAAGUAUCUGUUCCCCCGUGAUCCCAUCUGGAACCCUGCUCCAGUGCCCUGCCUGAGGGGGGAUCAAUCAUAGAGGGCGUUGCAUCAACCUUGGUGCUUCCAUGAUGAUGUGUGAGUAGUCUACCACCGACCUACGGGUCCAUAGUUAGUGGCUAGCUCUCUCUCUCUCUCUCUCUCCAUCUCCCUCUCCCUCUCCCUCUCCCUCUCUCUCUCCCUCCCUCCCUC